rnacentral:rRNA from 1 species
AAUCAACGCUGGCGGCGUGCCUCAGACAUGCAAGUCGAACGCGAAAGUUCCCUUCGGGGAGCGAGUAGAGUGGCGUCCGGGUGAGUAACACGUAGGUAAUCUACCUUUGGGUGGGGAAUAACAACCGGAAACGGUUGCUAAUACCGCAUAAUGCAGCGGCACCACAUGGUGACAGUUGUUAAAGCGGGGGAGUCGUAAGACCUCGCGCCUGGAGAUGAGCCUGCGGCGGAUUAGCUAGUUGGCGAGGGUAACGGCCUACCAAGGCGACGAUCCGUAGCCGGCCUGAGGAGGGCGGACGGCCACACUGGCACUGACAUACGGGCCGAGACUCCUACGGGAGGCAGCAGUGAGGAAUAUUGCACAA